GACCGUCUUCCACCAGAGCUGCCAGGCUGUGGUGAAGAAGGGCUGCCCCCGCUGUGCUCGCUGACGCAAGUACCAGCAACAGAACGUUUUCGCCUGAUGCCCCUCUGCUGAUCCCACUCUGAAGGCCGGGGGAAACCUGGCAGCGCCGGAGCCGCGCGGUCGAGGAGGGAGCGCGGGACGCCGAGCCCACGCGCGCCUGCCGGGACAAGUGGAGACGAGGCCGGCGAGCGGACGCCCCGAGGUUGGCGAAGGAGCUGUGGCCGGGUCCCCUUCUUAUCCAGCCCGAGACACUGCGCUCCGGUGGGCGUCCCUGCGCUGGGAAUCCCUCUCGGAGUUUUUCCAGGCCCGGCCGGGUUGCUCCGGGAAAGGCCCUGUUGGGGGAGGUGGGCCCGGAGCUGGCAGGUCUACAAUCCGGUUGGAAGGGCUCGCAGUGGGUGAUUCAGGGUGCCAAUGACCUCCCCGCGAACGGGAACGCCCGCACUAGACAACCAGCCCCAGACCGGCAUUCCCAGAGCCGCAGGCGGGAGGGACGCAGGGACUCCGGGACAGCAAAUCCCCGGGGGAGAAGGGAAGGGGGAAGGCGGGACAGGGGAGGCCCACCCUCCUUGGGCUCCGCUAGCGACCAGCCAGCGCCCCUUCAGACGCAGCCUUCCUGGCUCCGGACCCCGGCUUUCUGCUCCGGUCCUCGUCCCAAUGCCCCCCAAGGUCCCCAGCAGAGGCAUUCAGGUUCCUCCUCGCCCCGCCCAGACGCAGCUUCUUUGGGUAUGGGUGACAGCACUCCUGAGCGUCGCUGUCCCUAUUCGCUGCCGUUGCCAGCUCCGAUUCCGCGAAACCUCUCCGGCACCACCUCGGAAGCCCCGCCCAGGGCGAUGGUCCGGGCCUAACCUGCCG
rnacentral:lncRNA from 1 species